rnacentral:rRNA from 1 species
AUUGAACGCUGGCGGCAUGCCUUACACAUGCAAGUCGAACGGCAGCACGGGAGCAAUCCUGGUGGCGAGUGGCGAACGGGUGAGUAAUAUAUCGGAACGCGCCCAGUAGUGGGGGAUAGCCCGGCGAAAGCCGGAUUAAUACCGCAUACGACCUGAGAGUGAAAGGGGGGGACUCGCAAGAACCUCUCGCCAUUGGAGCGGCCGAUAUCAGAUUAGGUAGUUGGUGGGGUAAAGGCCUACCAAGCCUGCGAUCUGUAGUUGGUCUGAGAGGACGACCAGCCACACUGGGACUGAGACACGGCCCAGACUCCUACGGGAGGCAGCAGUGGGGAAUUUUGGACAAUGGGCGCAAGCCUGAUCCAGCAAUGCCGCGUGCAGGAAGAAGGCCUUCGGGUUGUAAACUGCUUUUGUCAGGGAAGAAAUCCUCUGGGUUAAUACCUCGGGGGGAUGACGGUACCUGAAGAAUAAGCACCGGCUAACUACGUGCCAGCCGCCGCGGUAAAAC